rnacentral:rRNA from 1 species
GACGAACGCUGGCGGCGUGCUUAACACAUGCAAGUCGAACGGAAAGGCCCUGCUUUUGUGGGGUGCUCGAGUGGCGAACGGGUGAGUAACACGUGAGUAACCUGCCCUUGACUUUGGGAUAACUUCAGGAAACUGGGGCUAAUACCGGAUAGGAGCUCCUGCUGCAUGGUGGGGGUUGGAAAGCUUCGGCGGUUGGGGAUGGACUCGCGGCUUAUCAGCUUGUUGGUGGGGUAGUGGCUUACCAAGGCUUUGACGGGUAGCCGGCCUGAGAGGGUGACCGGCCACAUUGGGACUGAGAUACGGCCCAGACUCCUACGGGAGGCAGCAGUGGGGAAUAUUGCACAAUGGGCGGAAGCCUGAUGCAGCAACGCCGCGUGCGGGAUGACGGCCUUCGGGUUGUAAACCGCUUUCGCCUGUGACGAAGCGUGAGUGACGGUAAUGGGUAAAGAAGCACCGGCUAACUACGUGCCAGCAGCCGCGGUGAUACGUAGGGUGCGAGCGUUGUCCGGAUUUAUUGGGCGUAAAGGGCUCGUAGGUGGUUGAUCGCGUCGGAAGUGUAAUCUUGGGGCUUAACCCUGAGCGUGCUUUCGAUACGGGUUGACUUGAGGAAGGUAGGGGAGAAUGGAAUUCCUGGUGGAGCGGUGGAAUGCGCAGAUAUCAGGAGGAACACCAGUGGCGAAGGCGGUUCUCUGGGCCUUUCCUGACGCUGAGGAGCGAAAGCGUGGGGAGCGAACAGGCUUAGAUACCCUGGUAGUCCACGCUGUAAACGGUGGGUACUAGGUGUGGGGUCCAUUCCACGGGUUCCGUGCCGUAGCUAACGCUUUAAGUACCCCGCCUGGGGAGUACGGCCGCAAGGCUAAAACUCAAAGGAAUUGACGGGGCCCCGCACAAGCGGCGGAGCAUGCGGAUUAAUUCGAUGCAACGCGUAGAACCUUACCUGGGUUUGACAUGGAUCGGGAGCGCUCAGAGAUGGGUGUGCCUCUUUUGGGGUCGGUUCACAGGUGGUGCAUGGCUGUCGUCAGCUCGUGUCGUGAGAUGUUGGGUUAAGUCCCGCAACGAGCGCAACCCUUGUUCACUGUUGCCAGCACGUUAUGGUGGGGACUCAGUGGAGACCGCCGGGGUCAACUCGGAGGAAGGUGGGGAUGACGUCAAGUCAUCAUGCCCCUUAUGUCCAGGGCUUCACGCAUGCUACAAUGGCUGGUACAGAGAGUGGCGAGCCUGUGAGGGUGAGCGAAUCUCGGAAAGCCGGUCUCAGUUCGGAUUGGGGUCUGCAACUCGACCUCAUGAAGUCGGAGUCGCUAGUAAUCGCAGAUCAGCAACGCUGCGGUGAAUACGUUCCCGGG